rnacentral:rRNA from 1 species
UGGGGAAUAUUGCACAAUGGAGGGAACUCUGAUGCAGCGACGCCGCGUGAACGAAGAAGGCUUUCGAGUCGUAAAGUUCUUUUAUAUGGGAAGAUAAUGACGGUACCAUAAGAAAAAGCCCCGGCUAACUACGUGCCAGCAGCCGCGGUAAUACGUAGGGGGCUAGCGUUGUCCGGAAUCACUGGGCGUAAAGGGUUCGCAGGCGGAAAUGCAAGUCAGGUGUAAAAGGCAGUAGCUUAACUACUGUAAGCAUUUGAAACUGCAUAUCUUGAGAAGAGUAGAGGUAAGUGGAAUUUUUAGUGUAGCGGUGGAAUGCGUAGAUAUUAGGAGGAAUACCGGUGGCGAAGGCGACUUUCUGGACUUGAACUGACGCUGAGGCACGAAAGCGUGGGGAGCAAACAGG